rnacentral:rRNA from 1 species
UACGGAGGGGGCUAGCGUUGUUCGGAAUUACUGGGCGUAAAGCGCACGUAGGCGGCUUUGCAAGUUAGAGGUGAAAGCCCGGGGCUCAACUCCGGAAUUGCCUUUAAAACUGCAUCGCUAGAAUUGUGGAGAGGUGAGUGGAAUUCCUGGUGUAGCGGUGAAAUGCGUAGAUAUCAGGAGGAACACCUGUGGCGAAAGCGGCUCACUGGACCAUAACUGACGCUGAUGCACGAAAGCUAGGGGAGCAAACAGG